GGCGGACUCGUAAAGCAAUAUUGAGCUGGAUUUCAGGAGAGGGUUGAGGUCCGGCGUUCCUAAAACUUCCUCUCUCUCUCCGUCUCCCCCAGUGUGUCCUGCCUUGGGUACAAUUUCCCAUAACAAAGACCAACUUUAGAGCGACUCCAAGCAGUAGCAGUUCUACUACUCUGCUGGAGACUGUGAGAAGUGUGUGUACUGUGUGAGUGAGAUCACGACAUUAGAGAAAAUCGAUCGAUAGAAUGGUGAGAUCUGGCACAGCUUCAUGUUUCAAGCUCAUCAAUUGCGCCGGCAACAAUGACUCCGUCGACAGAGAUGAUCUUCAAGCUCCUGAGAGUAAGGGCUCAAGUGAUAGAAGUAGGUGGAGUUUCCGGAAAAGAUCUGCAAGACAUCGAGUGCUGAGCAACUCUGUUACCUCAGAAACACCUUUUGUGAGCAAGACUGAUCCGGAUACUGCUGCUGUCAGCUUGCAGACGCAGGCUAGCUCUACUAUUCGAGAUAAAACCUCUGCUGCUCAAUGGACAGAGGAGAAAAACGAGGUGCAAAUUCCUGUGGAUUCAAAAUCAUCAUCAGCUAUAGCUUCUGCCGAGGAUGAGAACGGAAUUGCCAGCAUCCUGGAUGAAGCAAUUGUAAUUGUCAUCCAAUCUGCAGUUAGGAGAUAUCUGGCUCAAAGAGUGUUAUUGAAGCAUAAGAAUAUAAUUAAGUUGCAAGCUGCUGUACGUGGACACAUAGUUAGGCGGCAUGCUGUGGGUAGCCUUCGAUGUGUCAAAGCCAUUGUUAAAAUGCAAGCGCUUGUCCGAAAACGCCGUGCUCGCUUGCUUCUAAAACGGUCAAACAUUGAAGAAAAUUUAGAUGAAAAGAAUGGAAUUAACAAUCAUGGUUCAUUCAUGGAGAAAGAAAAUACGGGGACCGAGCCAUACACAUAUACUUCCAUAGAGAAGUUGCUAAGUAAUGCAUUUGCACGUCAGCUUCUGGAAUCAACACCCAAGACCAAAACCAUCAAUAUCAAGUGUGAUCCUUCCAAGUCGGACUCAGCCUGGAAAUGGUUGGAGCGCUGGAUGUCCGUUGCAUCAGUGGAAAAUGGACAGUCACAGAAAUUAGAGUUUGCUAAAGAUCAACAAGGUAAGGACGACAUCGUGGAAGCAGACUGCCAACUAGAAACUGCAGUAUCAUCUCCAGAAAAUUGUCAAUCAAGAGACAUCAAGACUAGUGCUGAAGCAUUGUCACUGGCUUCCGAAGCUGAUAAUAAUGUCAACACAUAUGAUGCAGACAGCUACAACUUUCAAGAAUGCAGGCCAACCGUAUCUUCAGUGAGUCACAGCCACAAGCAGUCCCAUCCUCAAAAUGUUGAACAAGCAAAUUUGAGCAAUAACACAUUAGAAUCUCUACCUGAUGAUCAUAGAGCAUCUGAUGUUUGCAAAGCUGAGCCUGAUUCAUUUCAUGAUCAAUCUGAAAUGGAACGCAGGCAGCAUGUGGACGUGUCCGAGAGAACUGCACCUGAAGGUUCUGAAAUUGAUGGAAAGAAAUCUUCAUCCGUAUCAAGAAAGGCAUCAAAUCCUGCAUUUAUUGCAGUUCAAUCGAAGUUUGAAGAACUUAGUUCAGCUGCCAAUUUAGGAAAAUCAGUUGGUUUGUCCAAUCAAGAUGCUGGUGUAGAUUAUUCUAUGGAUGCUGUUUUACCUGGCACAAAUCAUGCAUUUGGUGCCAGGGAAAUUGAUCAUGCUGAAAGUUCUAUUCCCCAAACUUCUGGAAUUCAAGUUGGUGGCUCUGAAUGUGGGACUGAACUUUCUAUUUCUUCCACACUUGAUUCUCCGGAUAGGUCUGAGGUUGGAGUGGUUGAUUUUGAGAAGGAAACCAAAAGUUCGGAGUACGGCACUGAAAAUCCUAAGAGCAGUCUAAACUUGGAAGUUGAUGAAAAGGUUGAGUCCAUACUCUCGGAGAGAGAUGUAUCACACUCAAAUUUGAGUCAGCCAGAGAAACAGGAGAACAGUACUGCUGUUGAAUCCGAGCAUGUGAGCUCUAUAGUGACUGUUGAAUCAUCUGAGAUAGAGGAGAAGCCAGAUUCUAUUGCCACUGGUGUGCUUGUGGAGAUGGAAUCUGAGUCAAGCCAUCCAGUGUCUAAAUCAUCACCUGAAGCUUCUCCAAGAAGCCAUGUAACAAUCCCUGAAUCCCAUGGAACACCUUCUAGUCAGGUGUCAGUGAAGCCCAAGAGAAUCAGGAGUGGGAAGCAUGGUACCAAACAUAAACAUGGACCUGUAUCUACUGGUAAAGAAUCCCAAUUGGAACCUAAUGAAGAUAAUGGUGCAAGAAGUAUCUCAGAGCAUUUAUCGAGGGAGCAUAAAGCAGGGAAGCGGCGCAACUCCUUUGGGACAGCUAAAACUGAUCAUGGUGAUCAAGAACCAAGGGAAAGUAGUAGUAGCAACUCUCUGCCGAGUUAUAUGCAAGCAACAGAAUCAGCAAGAGCCAAAGCUCUUGCUAAUAACUCUCCAAGAUCAAGUCCUGAUACGCAGUACAAGGAUGUGUACAUUAAAAAAAGACAAUCCCUAUCUGGUUCAAACACAAGACAGGGGUCACCUCGUGUCCAGCGGUCUCUGUCUCAGGCACAGCAGGCUGCCAAGGGAAAUGGAACUCAUUCUCCUCAAGAGAGGAAGUGGCUAAGAUGAACAUAUCGAUGACACAAUGCACAUGAUGCUCAAGAUUCCUUGAAGGUUUAUUUGCGCGGAUUUGACCAAUUUACAGGACUGGCCAUCUGCUGGUGAUUUCUGGCAUUUUGCUCUUUAUGAUUCAUACUAAAACUGGUACCUCAGGCUCAUACUUUUCAGAGGCGGAGAGAUGUGAAGAGACAAAUUUCAUGUAAGACUGUUUUUAUCGGAAGAGACUCCUGCACAAGUUGGGUUUGGGUGUCAGGAUCACCUCCAAGCAAAGACAUCAUGGUCAUCAAACUCAAAUUCCUUAGUGUCUGAUGACAAUUUACCACCAGGCUUUGAAGGAACUCAGCCUGCAAAUCUCCUUUGGAAUAAAUUACCCCAAAUACCUCUUAUCAAAUGGAAAUGCCCUCCUAGAUUUGUAUUGGAUGAUGCUUGGAGAGUGGUUGCUGGAGAAGAAAGUGUAGAAGUUGAACGUGAAAAUAGGCGGGAGAACACAGUGCUUGAGGCAAUUUAUCCACGACCAUCUGCUAUUCCUCCAGAUCCUUCUACUGAUGCGGGUGCAGAAAUCUCUUCUGAUGAACCAGUUACUCAUAUUCCCAUCACUCCUAUUGAAGAUGAAGAUGCACCUGCACCUACAAAUGCAUUAUUUGAUUCUGUGACAAUGAACACUCUUCCCCUCAGCUUACAGUCCCAGCCCUUGACACCUGGAGCUUCCUCAUCUCAUGUGACAAUUAAUCAUCCCCAGAGAGCCCCUGCAACUGAGGUAAUCACUGGAGUGGAUCUUGAUGUUGUAGCAGCUGCACAUGCUGCCUUGAGUGCGGUAAUGACCAACACCAAUCAAGGAAAUAUGAUUGACCGCGACUUGCUCAUCAAAAUUCUGAGUGACCCAAAAAUGGUUGAACAAUUGGUCAAGAACCAUGGAUCCUCCACUAGUACACAAACCAUGCCAGCGACCAGCAUGCAGAAUGUGCCAACUAAUAUGCAGCAUAUGGCAUCUAUCAGUACUCGAAUGCCUGUUGCAAGCAUGCAGAAUGUGCCAGCCACUGCAAUUCCAAAUAUCGCAUCAACAACCACACAGAGUAUACCAGGCCCUAGCAUGCCAAAUAGGCCCAGGCCAAUGACACCAGGAAUAAGUUUAUCUGAUCAGUCUCAGAUUUCUAUUAGUAGAACAGAUCGGCCUUUAGCCCACAUUAGCAGACCAGAAGUUGUUGCACCUCCUGUUACAGCUGCUUCUGGUGGAGUCUUCUACCCUCCGAGUCGGAUUGCAUCUAUUUCCAAUAUGCGGCCGCCAGUACCUGAUGUUGUCUCAGCUCCAUCUCCAUCUGUAGGGGCUCCUGUUGCAAAGGAUAUUAACUAUUAUAAGAGCCUGAUCCAGCAACAUGGAGGAGAUAGACAAGAACCAAUGCUACAUUACAACAACCGCAGCAACACUCCCUUGCUCUCGGCCAGAGAACCCUUAAAUAACCCGAAAUCCAGAGAUAUGAAACCCAAAAUAAUGAAGCCUUGUAUGUAUUUUAACAGUUCAAGGGGAUGUCGGAAUGGAGCCAACUGUGCAUAUCAACAUGAUGAAUCAUCACCCCAGCAGAGGGUUAAUGGAAUGCCAGAUUCACAAAGUGCUAAGAGAAUGAAAAUGGAUAGGGAGAUCACUGGUACAUAAUCCGUACAGUUAGCAUCUCCAUGUAUAUCAUUUUUUGUUUUUUGGGUGGAAUGCUAAUUGUAGUGGGCCGUUUUCUUUUGUUUUCAUUUUUAAUACUAUACAGCAAAAGAAUCAAUUUUUAAUUUAUUUAUUUCUGAUCGGUUGAGAUUA